rnacentral:rRNA from 1 species
AAUCAACGCUGGCGGCGUGCCUCAGACAUGCAAGUCGAACGCGAAAGUUCCCUUCGGGGAAUAAGUAGAGUGGCGCACGGGUGAGUAACACGUAGGUAAUCUACCUUCGGGUGGGGAAUAACCCAGGGAAACUUGGGCUAACACCGCAUGAUGCAGCGGCACCACAUGGUGACAGUUGUUAAAGGCGGGGGAUUUUCGGACCUCGCGCCUGAAGAGGAGCCUGCGGCGGAUUAGCUAGNGGUGGAGGUAA